UCUGAUUGUAACCCUGCUCUAUUCACAGGGGAAGAAGAAGUCUACAUCUUGAUUUACUUUGGCUCACAUCGUAAGCCGGUGUCCGGGUUGAUUGUCUUGUCAACCUAUUGACGCACUCAGGAAGAGGGAAGAGCCGAUCCUCUGCACUGUGUUGCUCCUGCCUGUGGACCAGCUGGGGGUAAAUCCCAAGCCCCACUGGUUGACUGUCCUGAUCUCCGCAGAGAGUAACUCAGACGACUAGAAGCACACAGGCUGGGGCCUACUUACUAAGAUGGCCAUUGCUCAGAGGUGAUCACCAACACAUGCCCAUACAACAAGGUUAUCCGCACAGUGUUUUUACCCUUUGCCGGUUUACAUCCAUGGUAGUUCCUCGGCAUGUGCAAGCUGCUGAUGUCUGGGGGGAGAUCCCGGAAUCCUGCUCUGGUCGCUGAAUUCGGCUGGUACUGUGAGAAAUGUGUAUUGGAUCGGAGUGGAAUUUGGGACUGGUGGGGAGACCUGCUG